rnacentral:lncRNA from 1 species
CCUGUCUGUCCCUCUCUCUUUCUUUUAUCGGUAAAUGUAAAAUUUUAUAUACAAGUACACUAGACAUAUUCGAGUAAAUGCAAACAAACGUUUCUCACAAUUACUCCAGGCAAACAAAAAGGUAUGGAUAUACAACAAAAUCAAUGACCCAGCACUGAGGACUCAAUAUGAAUUGAGACAUGGAUACAAAGAGAACAUAACUUUGUAUACGUG